UUUUGGGGGUGUAAUAAAAAAAAAAAAUCACUACAGAGUUUGUCAGAAAUGCAAGAUGGCCACCACUUUUUAAACCUUUGUUAUAUUUUUGGUUUAUUUCUGUUUGUAAAAUACAAUCUCAUAGAAGUGGCAUAUUUAUUUUAUUCACUGUUAUGAGUGAACAGUAAAGAUUUUUUUAAGAUCCAUUGAUUCUUGUUCAUUGUUUUUUUUUUUUUUUAUCAGUGUCUGUAGUAGCAGUGUGACCAAUAUGGAAGGAAAACGCAGCAUAAUAAACUAAAAUCUGAAAAUGGAGGAGGAACAGUGAGGCUUGGGUGAGGGACUUUGAGAGAGAGCAGUCAAGAGUGAGAGUGUGUGAUGAAUGAACAGACUAACCAGCAAAGAGACUGAUGAGGUUCUCUUGAGUUAUUCCUUGGUGUCAGAUGUAUAGCAGGAGGAAUAAAAUACAAUAUCAAUGUUUCCUUUUGCUAACAAAUAUUUGUAAUCAAAAGGCACUUAAAUUGUUUUUGCUAUCCCAUGUGACCCAUUGAUCAAACCCUGUCUUGCUAGUGCAUCUGGUGUUUUUGAGACAGCUUUAUACAAACCUGUGAAGUGUUGGCAGUUUGGUUAGUGCAGGAGUGGGUCUCGAAUAGAGAGCUUCACUGUUCUCGUCAUUGUUUAUUAUGGUUUCAAGUCCUGAUGUAUCAGACUGAACUACUGUGAAUGUCUGUGGAGGGCUAUAAGCUUUAUAUCUGGCUUGUACUACACGUAUUUCAGUUUUGCCAGUAGGAUUGUUAACUUGUUGCAUAUAAAGCAAUCUUUGAAACUAGUUGAUCAACUUUGCAUGCAGUACAAAUUGACAAUACUUGGCUUUUGAAACAGCAGGUUUGCAUGUUUUUGUGACAGAGUAUACACUUGAGCAUGAAAAGCAGAAAAGUCUAAGAAGUGAAUACUUUCUUGAACCCAUAGGAAGGUCAUUUUUGGACACCUUGGCAGCUGUUAAUGGGUAGUCGGUAAUCUCCAUUCUGUAGUAUUAGAAUGGAAAUGUUCUUGACCCAAGGGAGUUUUCAGUAACAGCUGAAUCUUGCACUAGGCUCUUGUGCAAUUGCUCAAAGGAAAAGUAAUUGAUUCCUAAUGUUGUGAAAGCAGGCAUUUUCAACUUUUUCAUUGACUGACCCACCUGAAAAACUUGCCAGUGCCUUGAAGAAGAUGGACCAACCAUGAGACAUGACCAAGAUGUGCAACCAUAUUUAAUGAAUCGUCAUUGGAAAAAGGAGCAUUCAGCUUCACAGACAGUGCUAAAUUUUUAAGUUUACAAUCUUCUGAUGUCAGUUGAUAUCCAUGCAAUCUGGGUACUCAGUAAACAGGAAGUCUUGUGUUACAUGAUUGGAGGGCUUGUCUAGUGAUAUUUCUUACCUGGAGUACCGACGAUCCCAC